ensembl:lncRNA LOC102555670 uncharacterized LOC102555670
CUGCACUGGAGAGGCUUCAGGGGAGAGGGGCUGCUUGAGUACUAACCCUGGGCUGAGCCCCUACAGCAGCUUGGCUAGUUCCGGUCUCCUGCUGGUGUUUAUGCCUUUCCUGGACCUUGUUAUCAGGCCUCCCACGAUGGACUGAAUAUCUUUUUGGGAGUGACCACGCCUCCACUGGGCUCUUCCGGCAGGAGCGUCACGUGGCCCUGAACAAAGGCGGUGAACUUUAUCCGGCAGUAACCUAAUCUCCUGGAUCGUUUACCAACAACACUCAGAGUGAUCUCCGGGAUUACCUUGGGCUUUGGCCAGCACCAGGGAGACUGGGCUGAACAGAAGGAAACUCCGUUCACAAAGAGAUACAACAGGAACCGUGGAGGAGCUGUUGGCUGGCACUCAGCUAGCUUUCUUACAAGGUUUAGGACCAUCUGCCUGGGGGAUGGUGUUAUCUACACAGUAGAUUG